GAGCAUCUUGCAUGUACAAAAGCACUCUGAGCCACAGGGAAUGAUGGAGGUCUGGAAACAAGGUGGAGGAAGGGAAGGAGACCAGAAGGUGGGGCCUCAUUGAGGUGUGCCCUUAGGGAGGGCCCAAACUGAGAUACAUCUUAAGAGCCCUGAUCUUAGCAAGUUUGUCUCAGGGAGUAGCAAAGAAAGAAGCAUCAAAGGAGAGCAUCUCUGAGAGUGGUCCUGGGUGGUUGGAGGUGAGGAUGCCAAGGAGGGCACAUGGCCCUGGAAUGCCAACUUCCUACAGUUUAAACAGCACAUCUGUGGUGUUGCCCUAAUCUCCCAUAGCUGGCUACUCACUGCAGCCCAUUACAUUCCCAGCCACCUGAAUGCCUCCCGUUCUCAGUCCUCUGGGGUUCUCACUACUUGGACUCCCCAAGUCCCCAUGCCUUGGAGUAAGGCAGAUCAUCCAGCAUCCUGCAUAUACCAGCCUGGAUGAGUCUGGUGGUGACAUAGCUCUGUUCUUCUCCCAGCUCCCCAAACCCUCCAGCAGGCCAACGUUUCUCUCUUGUCCUGAGAGAUCUGUGAGACCCUCUACCACCAGGACUCCCACCAUCCUCUUUAAGGUCCCUGUCAUCGAGCACGACAUGGUCUGUGCUGGCAGUGCAGAGGGCACCGCAGACUCCUGCCAAGGUGAUUCUGGGAACCCUUUGUCUUGCCAUUUAAAGGAUCAAUGGGUGCUAGGAGGUAUGUGCCUUGGAGCAAAGCUGCAGUCAUUCUGCCCUUGUUACAGCUCUGAUGAUAAAAACCUGGUUCCAUAUCCAGGCAGAUAACAUCAGGAAGUCGUUGAAAACAAAGGACUGGAACUUUGGGAGUGGUUGGAUAUAAACAUAUAGGUUGGGAGUCAUCCUUAUUUUAUUUUCAGUUUUGUAUUUUCUCCCAUCCACUUCCCUUUCCCAUAUCCACUGACAAAAAAAAAAGGGAAGAAAAACAUUCUUGUGGCUUCAGCUGACAUCCUUGUACAGAUCACUGCCAAAUAAACCUGGAAAGACUUUCGGAAUUGAUGCA
rnacentral:lncRNA from 1 species